CGUCUAAAUGGCGGAUAAUCGCAUUAAAUUUAGAAUUUAAUAAUCCAUUA
rnacentral:tRNA from 2 species